UUUCACCUCCUGCUGUUAACUCUCCAGCUCAGAGGCUGAGUCAGAGUGUCUAGACAAGUCUGUGAGAGCUGAGAAAAAGAAAAAUGACUGCUGCUUUCUGUGGCCCUAGAACAAGUGGGAAUUCCUGGCGGAGGUGCCCUUCCCAAAGUACAGAAGAGCAAAUUCCCAGAAGCAGCAGAAGCCUCGGCCUGAGGGAUGAAGAUAAAAAGGGAAAAGACUCAUUUAAGAGCUCAAUAGGAAGGGGAGUCCAGUCCUGCACUGACAGUAGGAAUAGGGAGGGAUCCUGCUGAUGCUUUCCAGGAAGCUUUUAUAUGGCUUACUACUAGCAAUGUUAGUAAGAUUUCAUAUUUAUCACACAUGCAUUAUGUGUUGGACACUGGGCUGAGCAUCUUAAAUAUUUUGCUGCAUUUAAUCUCCACUACCACUCUAUAAAUGUAUUGACGUUUGCACUUAUGGUGCAAAAUAAAAAGUGGGAAAACCUGCUGGUGCCAUAGCACAAUUCAAGGCAGUGCACCAAACAGCACUCGUGGUCCCUGCAUUCUUCCAGUGGAAAAAAAAAUGCCAUUUCACUUCAUCAUGUCUUUGAUGAAGCAGAAUAAUCAUUACCUUUGUUAAAGCUCAAGGCUUGAGCACAUAUCAUUUUAGAUUCUGCAUGAGGACAUGGGACGAUGACAUCAUUCACUUCUACACAUGUCCAAGUUCCUUGUUUGUCUCAAGGAAAGACAUUGGCACAAACAACUGAGUUGCAAUCUGAUAUAAACUCUUUCUUCAUGGAUUACCAUUUGUACUUGGAAGAACAACUGAAAAGCUAUAAGCAUUCAGACUUGGA